GAUGAAGAACGCAGCGAAAUGCGAUAAGUAAUGUGAAUUGCAGAAUUUAGUGAAUCAUCGAAUCUUUGAACGCACAUUGCGCCCCUUGGUAUCCCGAGGGGCAUGCCUGUUCGAGCGUCAUUUCACCACUCAAGCCUGGCUUGGUGUUGGGCGACGUCCUCUUUGGGGACGCGCCUCGAAACGCUCGGCGGCGUGGCACCGGCUUUAAGCGUAGCAGAAUCUUUCGCUUUGGAAGUCGGGGCCCCGUCUGCCGGAAGACCUGCUCGCAAGGUUGACCUCGGAUCAGGCAGGGAUACCCGCUGAACUUAAGCAUAUCAAUAAGCGGAGGA
rnacentral:misc_RNA from 1 species